UUCCUCAGAGUACGCUGGUAGCUGUGGAUCUCCAGCCACACUGUGGGAGUGUGGGUUCAUAUCCUGCUAUUGCUAGGCAGAUGACAUCACUCUUCUUUUCCAUAAAGAGUUGUUCCAUCUGUGCUGCUUGCUGAGCAAAACACACGUAUGUGGGGCCUGCAGAUGAAAUAUGCCUGCGAUGUGGGCCCAGGCCAAUUUCGUCUCUUAAAGGAAACAGCAACGCUAUUUAAGUGGUACCAAUAAAAUAACAUUUUAUCUUCCGAAUUUAAAAACAAUUCCCAAGCCUGCAUGGAAUCAACCCUUUCAAAUAGUUCAGGAAUCUGUUGUUAUGUCCUCUGAACAUAAUAGUUUCAUGUUUGGGAGUUGCUAGAUCUAACAGAAAAUAAUAGGGACUUUUCUAAUUGCUUGUAACCGGCUAGGCACUUAACAUUUAAUUCUCAUCAUAAGCCUUUUCUAACAAUGACAUGCUUCCCAUUUUAGGAGUGAUAAAAAUUAAAACGGAGGCUCAGAGAGGUUCAAUGAACUGUUUAGAGUAUUAAUACUGGAGCCUGAGCUUUCAUCUCUGGAAAUCUAAUCGUGAACCUGGAGUUCAUUCCACCCCUGCUCAUCAGAAAACAAUUAAUAGGUGAAAGGCAAAUGAGUAUUUUUGAUAACACAUUUUUUUAAAUAGGAUGACUUGCCAAAUCUCUUCUCUCUGGAAUGCUUCACAAUCUGCUCCUUCGAUUUUUUUUUUUUCCUUCUUGAAGGCAGGCUGGAGUAAUAGAAACACGCUCUUGGAGGGCUUUGAAGCACAAUAGUAUAUAAAGAUGUGACAGUGACUGCUAUCCUGAAAGCACAAACUAAAUCUCUAGCAGGGUUUGAUCAUCUCUGAGUCUAAGCUGGGAGAUAAGAGAUUUGUGACACUGGCAAUGCCGUUAAUUCUGGGACAGGGGUACUAAUACAUUUCCUUGUUCUGUCUGCCUUAAGGCUUUGUCCAAGAUACUCAGUGAAAAGAACCUCUUCUCUUUCAUAUUUUUGGGGAACUCCAAUUGAUCUCAGCAGCACCCAUCUCUCCUCCCCUACCUUUCUACAUCUUCCUAGGUGGCAAAUGGAUGAAAGGAUUGACUUCUUGGCCCUUUAGCAGCGGAAUAACAAUUGUUUCCCAUCUCUUCUUUUCUUCCCAACUCCUCCCCUUUCCCCAUCCUGGGAAGUUAAGUUUCUUCCACUGAGGUCUUCCCCUAUAAUCCCAGAGGCCUCUUCUUUUCAGUCCAUCUACAGUCAUUAACAAAUUGAGAAUUUCUCCAGAGCUUAAAGUUUGACUCUCUGGAGCUGGGAACAGAUAGUGCGAAUGAUAAAAACAAAACAAAACAGCCUCCCCGCCCACCCAAACAGCUGUCACCAAUCACACUCUCCAAUCCUCAGGGGGAUCCGUUGAGCUUACUAGAGUGAAGGAUCAAUCUCGAGUUGCCCUGGCAACAGUAAUCAGCUUUGAGAACAUCCUCCUGGGCUGUUUGGAUGCACGGAAAGGAAAAAGCAGGAUGGGGAGCAAAGGUUUGUUCUCCCCAUGUUUUGAGAAGUCCCUGCACAGCAGUUCACUGUGUUCAACAUGAGGAGUACUUGUGGAUCUCACAGCAUGAAAAGCGUCUGCUGUGAUGAGAUUGAUUUCACUUAAGAGGCCCUUGAAAUACACAUGCACACCCUAAAGUUUUCAAGGACGUUUAUCAGGAGCCAAAUUUCCAUGGGGAGUUGGAAAUCAAUUCUUCAACAGCAAACUCCAACCCUGUCAGUUGCUCAGAUCCGCAUCCCUCAUUCUAGGUUGGAAAAUGAAAGAAUCUCCUGAAAUCCACAUUGGGAGAGUAAGAUGUGGUUGUCAGUGAAGACAAGAAGGCAGGGUUGUCCACCCCCAUCCCACACACCCUCAUUGAUUCCAGCUUUAGCUCUGUGCAAGUUUAUUUUUUAAAAUGUGGAUGCUCCAUUUUCAGAGAGUGAUCUAAAAAUACACUCCUGCAUGCCUGUGGCUGUGAUGUGUAUAUAAAUCCAAAACCUCAGAAUAGAGUGGAUUACACUGAGAAGCAGAUAGACCAAAAAGCAGAACAGGAUGAUUCCUUCUACCUUCUGUGUCAGGAGGCGGCACUCAUGGCAUUAAGCACAUCAAAUGUUGUCAGAGUUGAUUUCAUGAAUAGGUUUCUGUGAGAAGUAACUUAAAGGACACGGAAGAAGACUGUUUUCCAGGUGUGAUCCCAUAUUGCCAUUCUUCUCUGCCCAAAAUGACAUUUUUGAUAAAACUAAAAUUGUAAGAAUAAAAGCAAACAUUGAUUAAGGGUGUUCCAUGUAAGAAUAAAAGCAAACAGUAAGAGUGUUCUAUGUACUGGUGUGAUCAGACCCCCUGCCCGGAGGUGGCUCUUCUCUCUCUCAGUCUCUGUACAUCCCCUGCUGGAUCAGUGCUUGCUUCACCUACACCUUACUCACACCACUGACUUUCCUAUAUACUUGCCCCCACCCCAGUUAGUGAUUGUUCUAACCCUUAGAUCAGAACAUCUCCACCUGAUUGCUGAUCAAAUGGGUAGUGAGAGCGUGCCCCUCGGCCAGUUUCCCUGGUAACCAAUGAGCCAACCAAUGUCAAUUCCCCCUCUAACUGGUAACCUCCCCCUCCCUCCAGGAGCUGCCCUGUCCCGCCUGCUGCCUGCCUGGUACGGUAGACUGUUGUUGUUUUGUGGCUGGAGUGGGAGCUGUCAUGUCCCGGGGCCUGCAGGCGUCCUUAACAUGGACUCACCGCCAAGUGAGGGUUCUUGGCUUCUCGACAGGGGGAAAGAAUUCAAGAGCCAGCCAAGGAAAAGCAAAGCCUGUUAUUGCUGCAGGUACUAAAGAAGAACGAAAUGAUCUCAAGCUAGGUCAUAAAAGAGAGAAAUCUAGGAGAUGGAGAACCUGGAGCAUUUAGCUUUUAUUGACACAUGGCUCAGCUUUUCAAUUGUAUCAAAUUCAAAGCAAUAAACACUCAUCCGGUGUCCAUCUCCCCAAGGUGCUCCAGGAGGCAUGGAGAGGCGGAGAGGAAAAAACACAGCAGGAAAGCCUCCAUAUACAUGUGGCCAUGCUUUGGGGAGAAAACCCAAGUGCACGUUGGUUAGGGCUAUAAGAUAGGAAUGUACAGUGUGCUGUGGGAACACAUACAGAAGCAUUUUAUUCUGCCUGGAGGGUGCCUGGGAAGCUUGGCGCCGAAUGACCGGACUGUCCCUGGCAAUAUGGAUUAAUAAGGCGCUAACUUUCAACCUUUUCUAAUUGAGACUUACAGUUCAAAAUUAUUUUAUAUGCCUAUUCUAAACACACAAACCCAUGCACAUGUACUUAAGUGUUACAAAAUAAUACUCUGUGAGGCACCCUUGUGUUUUGUUUUUUUUCCUUUCAUUCUGUUUUUAUUAUUGUAGAUGCUGGUUGAAACCCAUUUAACUGAGCAACCUUGAUCAAUUAAUGAAUUGGGAUCUCAACUUACAAAAUUCUGGAAUAAAGCAUGGUCUUUGAAGUGACACAAAACUGUUUUUAAAUCUCAGCAUGUGCUGUGUUGUGCUUAGUCACUCAGUCAUAUCCAACUCUGUGACCCCAUGGAUUUGGGCAGUUUGUUUAACUUUUAUGAAUUUGAGAUUCCGUGCCUAUAGAAAAAUCAUAUGUGGCUACUCUCUACCAGACCAGAAUUAAAGGAAAUAAUACUUGUAAACAGCUUAUUGUAGUAGGGAGAAUCAGGGAGGUGGGCAUGCUAGGCACACUGAUUGGUUUGGUAGAGUUGUCCCACCAUGCAUGACAAGAUCAAUCUGAUGAGUGAUAUGCCUGAAAGUUUACAGAAUACAAGGCAGAAGGGGAAAAUAAACAGCUUACCAAGGGCUUCCCUGAUGGCUCCGAUGGUAAAGACUCUGCCUGUGAAGCAGGACACCCGUGUUCUAUCCCCAGUUGGGAAAUUUCCCUGGAGAAGAAAAUUUUAACGCACUCCAGUAUUCUUGCCUGGAAAAUUCCAAGGACAGAGGAGCCUGGCAGCUAUAUAGUCCAUGGGGUUGCAAAGAGUCGGAUACAACUGACUAACCAACACAAGGGUCUGCACCCAGAUCACAUGUGUGUCUGCAUGUGAAUCAGUGAGUAUAUGUGUACAUGUUUGUUCAUGUGUAUGCAUGUGACUUUGUGGGGAGUGUGUGUGUGUGUGUGUGCGCGCGUGCUUUCACACCUGAGUGGAGACUGGGGAGGCUAGUGUCAGUAUACAGACUAAAUUCGAGUCUCCUUUAUUCGAUAACCUCUUAACCAGUCCCAGUGAGCUUUGGUUAAACCAACAAGCCCAAAUCUUUCCUGGAAUCUUCCUCUUAACAACAGACCACAGUCUUUCAAUGACCUUGACAGUGUCACCUCCACUUUCUGAGCUUAAUCUUCCUUACAUAUAUAC
ensembl:lncRNA